GGUCGCGGCCGCUCCGAGGCGGCGGCAGGAGCCCCGCAGGGCCGGGGAGAAAGAGGGGUUGAUGCAGCCCCACACAGCCCUGGCACGGCUGGGACGCGCUGGGGGUGAUGCCCGCCCCGAGUAGAACGCGGAGCCCACAAAAUGGCCCCCUCCCCUCACACAAAAUGGCCCCCCCUCAGGGGAGGGCAGGCCGGGCCGGGGGGAACAGGGACAGCACGGACAGCAACGGCCACAAACUAAACACAAACUAAAAACAAAUUAAACCACAAACUAAAAACAAACUAAACCCCGAACUAAACCACAAAAUCAACCACAAAUUAAACCACGAACUAAACCACGAACUAAACCACAAGUUCCACCUCAGCGUGAGGGUGGCAGAGCCCUGGAGCUGCCCAGUGUGAAAACCACGUUUUAUUGUUUUGUUUUUGGAAUCUCCCUCUCCAGGGCCAUCCCAAACCCACCUGGAUUCGGGCUGGUGACAAAGUGGGGAUCAGCCAAAAGUUGGAUUUGAUGAUCCUGGAACUCUCCUCCAACCUCAGUGAUCCUGGGAUUCUCUAAUUCCAUCACCUGAGACGUGAGCCAGGCCUGGGGGAGGCCCUGUGUGGAAAUAAAAUAAAAUUAAACAAGCAGAA